AAAAACCUUCAUUUCUUUUCCACUGAAGAAAAAAAGACAUGAACAUCUUGGAUGACAUGGAGUUGACUCCCCUCCUGAAACACCACUGGCAUCCACUUAUGAGGAGGCAUUUUGACUGAAACAUGGAGGAUGAAAGUCAAGUUCACCCUUGAGAGCAUCUGGAUACUCUGCUCUGGCUGUGCGCGUUCAUGUGUUUUGGAGGAGGCGUGGCUUUAGAGACGCUCUGAAGGAAGGGUGGGAUCUUCUGCCUUCAAAGCUAACUUGCUAUUGCUAGCCUCUCUGAAACUGCCUAUCCUACCCUUAAAAGAUGACAGCUGAUGGCUAUCCUGCACACCCUGAAAGUUUUACAAGUAUAAAACACAAGAACAAACCGAAAUCAUUUUAUCACUGCAGUGCACUGAUGUGUAUUUUUCUGAAACAUUGCCCAGUGAAGAGCCUUGAUAGGCCGAAAUAUUGGCCAGACUGAUAUGUGCUGAAUUUAGCCAUUUUUAAAUGUCUAAAUAAUCCACAUUGACGAAAAAAAAAAAACAUUUCAAACUGUUAGUUCACCCUUGUGCCAGUUCCAAAGUCAACCACCAACCUUGUCAAAAUUUAUCAAACUACACUCUAAAAAAUCUGUGAAAUUUAUGAUUAAAAAAAACAGCAGCUGUGGUCGUCAGAAAUUGAAAUAUACAAUGGCAACAUUUGAAGUUUUAUGGAUUGAAAUUAGGACUGUAUGAUUCAUCGAAAUCGGAAUAAAAUUGCGACGUGAGCAUGCACGAUUUCUAAACUGCAGAAAGUUUUUUCCGCCAGCUCUGAAUGCAGCGUGACUAAAUCUAGAGUGAGGUUUACCAUUACGACGAAAGAAAGCAAGAAACAGGGGAGGCGAAUUCAGGGAAGGAUCAGGAUCAGGAUUUCCAAAAAAAUGUAGAGCUGCACAAUCACUCGUUAAAAGAUUGUGAUCUCAUCUCAAUUUAAAACCCACACAAUCUUAUUCCUGAAUGUCAGUGAUUCUACUGUCUAUUAAACUUUUGACAAGUACG